UGCCCAGCAACUCCUAUCCCUACCUCCUCGUGGUACCGGCCGGAAACUAUGAGCAACCUUAGGGAAGAUCGGGUAACCAACCCCGGUGGGAACUUUGGUCAUAGGCUGACAGGGAAGG
rfam:Aedes albopictus isolate Foshan contig111935, whole genome shotgun sequence.